rnacentral:rRNA from 1 species
UGGGGAAUAUUGCACAAUGGGCGCAAGCCUGAUGCAGCCAUGCCGCGUGUAUGAAGAAGGCCUUCGGGUUGUAAAGUACUUUCAGCGGGGAGGAAGGCGAUAAGGUUAAUCACCUUGUCGAUUGACGUUACCCGCAGAAGAAGCACCGGCUAACUCCGUGCCAGCAGCCGCGGUAAUACGGAGGGUGCAAGCGUUAAUCGGAAUUACUGGGCGUAAAGCGCACGCAGGCGGUCUGUCAAGUCGGAUGUGAAAUCCCCGGGCUCAACCUGGGAACUGCAUUCGAAACUGGCAGGCUAGAGUCUUGUAGAGGGGGGUAGAAUUCCAGGUGUAGCGGUGAAAUGCGUAGAGAUCUGGAGGAAUACCGGUGGCGAAGGCGGCCCCCUGGACAAAGACUGACGCUCAGGUGCGAAAGCGUGGGGAGCAAACA